GGCUGGUCUGAUGGCAGUAGGUUAUCAGAACUUAUUAACAUUAGUGUCACUAAAGUUGGUAUACCAACACCCCACUGCUAAAUUUGACUGGCUUUAA
ensembl:misc_RNA Y_RNA Y RNA